rnacentral:lncRNA from 1 species
GGGCUCUCCAGCACAUCAGGCUCUCACAGACAUCAUCCUCAACACAAGGUGGCUGAAGAAUCUUCAGAAAUACCUGAACUUCAGACUAAGAAGACAUAUGGAUACAUUCCAUAUGGAUACAGACCUCCAAUGUGAGAUUUUGAGGAAGCGGUUGGAAUCUGAUGGUGGGAUGCCAAGGAGAAGAACCCUAAGGCCCGAAGACCACAGAAGACUUGGACUAAUACCCCCUAUUCCUCCACCAACAACUGAGGAACCUGUGUAUUCACAUGUGAGAAGAGGCCUAGCGUUGAGUGAACCUGGAGACCAUGCAGGAGCUCCAGCAACCCUGUGAGAAACCCAGAACAGCACAAACUGGCUCUAACCAGAACAGAAAGAGGAGUGGGAGGCCCCAGUGCCCAACUGAGCAAGAGGACAAGUACAUUAGCGUGUCUAGUUUGAGAAACAGACACCUCACAAGUCCUCAACUUCAUUAAAUAGUAC